rnacentral:rRNA from 1 species
AUUGAACGCUGGCGGCAUGCCUUACACAUGCAAGUCGAACGGUAACAGGUCUUCGGAUGCUGACGAGUGGCGAACGGGUGAGUAAUACAUCGGAACGUGCCCAGACGUGGGGGAUAACGAGGCGAAAGCUUUGCUAAUACCGCAUACGAUCUAAGGAUGAAAGCAGGGGACCGCAAGGCCUUGCGCGUUUGGAGCGGCCGAUGGCAGAUUAGGUAGUUGGUGGGAUAAAAGCUUACCAAGCCGACGAUCUGUAGCUGGUCUGAGAGGACGACCAGCCAGACGGGGACUGAGGCACGGCCCAGACUCCUGCGGGAGGCAGCAGGGGGGAAUUUUGGACAAUGGGCGAAAGCCUGAUCCAGCAAUGCCGCGUGCAGGAUGAAGGCCUUCGGGUUGUAAACUGCUUUUGUACGGAACGAAAAGGCUCUGGCUAAUACCUGGGGCACAUGACGGUACCGUAAGAAUAAGCACCGGCUAACUACGUGCCAGCCGCCGCCGUAACAC